AGGCGCUUGCUGUUUGAUCAUCAUGUUGGUCUGGGCAACACUUACAUGAGGUGAAGUUGAACUGCCUGACGCUGCCAACACCGCCGUCGCCCUCCACGGGAUGGGCGCUUGUGACGACGUGAGAGGCGACCUUGGGCGCCAGGUUGUGCCAGUCCAUCACGGCGGCGCGGAACAGGCGCGGCGCGGCCACCGGCGACGGGAUCUCUAGGGUCCAGCUGUUGGAAGCCAUGCUGGUGGUGGUCUGGGAUGAGCUUUGGCUCGGUGCCUAGGCCUAGUUUGAUACUAGUAGCUGGAGCUGCUGCUUGUGUUGCUGGAACGAGCGGCAACAAGGUAUUUAAAUAGAGUGCGGUGAGCGCGGGGUUGGUGACGCUUUGCCCGGUUGGUGUCCGGUGGUGACUGGUGAGGGCCUCAAGUUGCUGGGCGAGUCGUCGGGCUUUUCCACAAUGGAUGGCUCUGUCGGUCGAGUGAGCUUUUAGUAAGGCGGGCGUCGAAACACACGUCUUGCACGGUCUUUGUCAAAACACGAGGAUAUAUUCGAGGAGUAUGUUGACGGAAUUGGCGCCACCUUCCGCUUGCACAAUUUGGUCUUUGGUAUAUAAAAGUAGUAUGUAAUGACUGUCAGAGUUCUAGAUAUUUGACUGCAUGUCUGCAUGCUAGGAUAACUUCCAUUCUAGAACGAUAUGAGGCCCUUGACUAACAUGAAUACAUCAUCUUUUGAAUUUAGACAUGAGAAGACUUAAAUUUUGUUUGACAUAACUCAACUUUAUUUUUGAAACUGCUUUUUUUAAAUAGCUCUACGUGCAACUUUCUCGGUAUUAAAAAGUUAUUUUAUAAAAUAGCUUCACUAACAACUUUAUGUAUGGUUGAGAGAGAGAAAUGAAAGAGCGCUUUGAAAAGUUAUUUUUAGCUCUAUUUUUCUGUGAGAGCAUAAAAAAGGUGUUUGACAAAAAACAACAACAACUCACAACAGCUCAUGAAGUUGUUGGUUAAACCGUGUCACAUAGAGCCUCACUUGCUGUCGACGAAAGCUGGUCGGCAGUCUACCUUGGGGUAUACCCACGGUAGUAGUUUAUUGGUAGACGGUGCGCAAACUACGAACUCGACGGUGACGCAAGACUCGGACAAGCUUUUUAUCCAGGUUCGGCCGCCGAGUUGGCGUAAUACCUACGUCCUGCGUCUGGUUGUAUUGAUUUGUGUUGAGAGAAUAUCCUGUCCUAGGGGGGUCCCUUGCCCCUCCUUAUAUAGUCUGGAGGGCAGGGUUACAGAUCUGGAAACUAAUCCUAGUCGGUUACAAUUGUCAUAGAUAGUUCGAUAUCAAUUCCUAUUCUAACCGACUAGAAUCCUGCUUGAUCUCCACAUCUUGCUUCCUUGCGCGAAACCCCAUGCUGUCGGAUCAAGCCUUGAACUCGUCUCGUAAUGGGCCAAGCCUCCUGGCCCAAGUCUAGCCAUAAGGGUAUAGGGGUCUAUCCCCCCACACUUGCUGACAGUGAUGCCACCUUUUUCUUCUUAUCUCAUCCCUUAUGGAUCUUUUAUGAGAAACAUCUUGUUUAAUUUAUAAAAAAACUACCCUUUUUUUAAGUGACUCCUUCUUGCUCUAGCGAGAUCUUUUACCGUUGUCGAAAUGGUAACAUGAUGUACCACUCAACAUGCAUGAGAGGUAAACCACGGUACCUUUAGGACUAAUAGUUUUGACACCUACAGUACCAAACUCAAGUUAUAUAGUUUUGAUAACUUACCAAGGAUAAUAAAAAAAAACUCCUUACAAAUGCCUUCUAUGGCUUCUUAUAGGCACUUGUUAUGAUAUAAGGACACAACUAUGACAAUUAAGGAAUGGUGGGCAUCCUUAUUGAAGGUCCAUUUGGACUUUGGAUGCAAGGGGUAAUUGGUAGUUAGCUAAGAAUUAGCUCCCGUGUAUCUAAAUAGGAAUAUAUGUGCUAAUUUUUUAAUUAGCCAAGUUUUCAGCUAGUCGUUAGGCAAAUAGCUAGCCAACUAUAAACUAAUUUAGACUAAUUUUUAGCCCCAACUAAUAACUAGUGUAUCCAAAUAGAGUAGAAUUGUAAAAGAGAACGAUGGUAGUUCUAGUGUACUAUUUUUAGGAUGUCUACAAAUAACAAAAUAGAAGGGCUUUGCACGGAAAGAUGAAUUGACUCUAAAAAAGAAGGCUUGUGGCAAACCUAGUUUAGGCUUUUCAUUUCGCUGAAAAUACACUGAAAAGUACUGUUCACUGAUUUGUUGUGAGAGAAAAAUCCUGUAUCAUGACUGAUAAAUCUAAUGUCAUUGUUGUAUUCUUUUGUAACUUAAAUUUGCAAAAAUCUACAUUUUCUUUCUUUUUUAAAAGAAAAUGGACAGACAAGAGAGCUACCUUUUAUAUAGUACAGUCAGGCUUCUCCUUACGUGACCUGUCAUUUCUUAAAAAGAAAUGCAAGCUCGGUUGAUAAGGGUUUAGCCGUUUGAGGCCGCCGUUGAGCAUCACUUUUGUCUAAACUCAGAAAAUGAACUAAAAGCUGCUGUGAAGAGAUUUCGUGGCUUAUGAUUUGUUCUGGAAGCUAAAAAAAUAUUACAAAAUUCAAUAAUGAAAAUACAACAGUCAGAAGCCACAAAAUCAGCUUUUAUGUCAAAAGUACAAAAGAUACCGCUCAAACAAACAAGCCCUUAAAUGUCUUCUUCUCCCAGCUCUCUAGUGAACGCUAUAGCUCUUGGAGCUUUCAUAUUUUCCAUAAUAAUUUUAAACACUCUACCAAUAUCUACUGAAAAUGUAUCGAAAAAAUCAAAAUAUCUAUUAGAAAUGAGCAAAAUUAUCGGUCAAACUUGCAUAGAAUUCGAAAACAAAAUGCCCCUAUUCUUCCCACACAUAAAACCAUUGUAUACCCAUUUUCUGUCCCUUCUUCUUUCAAGAAAGUCAUUGUAUACCCAAAUAGUUUUCCAUCCGCCCUAUUUAUAGUCCAGUUUAUCCAGUUUUUGGUAAAACCUAGCCUAGCCCGUAGGAUUUAUCUACAACAGUUUCUAACCCACAGGUACCAGCGGUUUCCCUCCUGAUCUUCCCCAAUCGCCCACUUGCAACACCACGUUGCUCAUUGUUAACUUACUCUCCACGGACCUGUCCGCUCGUCGCGCUCGCCUCGAGCCGUCCGUGCGCUCUGGAGAUCCUAACUUUAUAUAUGGCCAUGCAGCCCAUGGCCCGGUGGCCCGGCCCAUGGCCUGACGAUUUGGCACGGCCCGAGGGACCCUGCCUAGGCCACCACCUAUGCACGCGACAUGGCCCAAGCAUGGCUUUAUCCAACGGUUGGCCCGGUAGCGGCUCGGUGAAAAUAAACUGUUGUGUAGUUGUGACUUAUAUAUAUAUGUGCCGUUAAUUGUUAUAUUGGAGAAAAUGAUGAACAAUUGGUGAAAAUGAUAAAGUGUUUUAGCACUUAGUGAAAAUGUUAAUGAAAAUGAACUGUUUUCGGCUAAACGGGUCGUGGGCUGGCACAAUACGAGAAAAACGCCAUGCUUGACGGGCCGACACGACACGAAAACCGGCCCAUAGGCCGUGCCUUAGGCCGAAGGCUAUGCAUGAAGUCCAUGGAGGCACGACCCGCAGCACGACACUGCAUGACGUUGGACAUAUAUAAUCCUAAAGCAGGACGAUUAGAAGGAAGAAGAUGGGGGUCUCCACCUGUCGUGCAGUGGAAUUCUCGUGCCUCCCCGUGCAUGGCCACGGUGCCACCAUUGACCACACGAGCGCGGCGUGGUGUGCGUCCGAAGAUGUUGUGGCUGGCGUUGAAGACAACCUCGAAGUUGUGCCUCUGUCCUCCAUUGGUGCCCAUGGGUACGCUGUUGAGCGGCGCUGGUGCCCCCUUCGUCGGCACGGGAGGAAGAACACGACCAAGUUUAACGAGUUGAGUGGUGUGGAAACGUCGCAAACCAACACGCGUGGUUUCUCCUGACACGGUUUACCGUGGGCUGAUUCACGGGUACACGGUUAGUAUACAUAUAUAUAGGGGGUGUUUGGUUCAAAAAAUGCAAAUGUCAAUUACUUUGUAAUGAUGGAAUGUAAAAGGUCAAACUUUUCAUGGUUAUGUUUAGUAAUGCAGAAUUUAUUGUCUUUAUAAGGGCCUCUUGAGGUUCUUUUGGUGUGUUUUUUUGCCUCUUGAGGUCAAAAUCUAAAAUAAAGAAUAAUUAUUUUUUUGCUAAAAAUUUUGCAUGCUGUUUAGUUAUAUUAUACAGAACAAUGGACCAAAACCAAGAAUUUUUUAGAAUAGCAGGGGAAAACACCCAUAAUCGCACAACGACAGCAUGCUACAUACCACUCAUAACAUCUCAAGUCCACACACCGCACACUGCUUAGAGCAGCUUUAUUUAUUUUGUACGAAAAAAGGAACAUGAAAGAAAAAAAAUCCAGUCUCUGAAUAUAUCAAAACAUGUAUAAGACCACCCGUGAAGUGCAAUCGCAUCCCCAUCCACAGAUUUAGUUGUAGGCGUCGGGGUUGGCGACGAGGUAGGCCUCGGCACCCUUGAAGAUGGCGGUGACUGCCUCCUUGGCCUUGACUUCCUCGCCCUUCACGUCCACACCCGGCAGCAGCUUGUAGGUCGACUCCACCUUCACCACGCUGCCGCCGCCGGCCGCGGGCUCCACCUUGAUGUGCGACGCCGCGGUCUCGACGGCCACGCCGAUGCCGCCUCCCUCGACGAGCGUCGACUUGCACUCGCACUUGUCCAUGUCCAGGGACUCGAGCUUCUCCUUCAUGAAGCUGAAUGGCAUGACUGCAAGAGCGAUCGAUCCCACGUCAGGCGCUAGCUGUUUGAUCGAUGAUCAAGCGAGAGAACAUCAUGUUGGUCUGGGCAACACUUACAUGAGGUGAAGUUGAACUGCCUGACGCUGCCAACACCGCCGUCGCCCUCCACGGGAUGGGCGCUUGUGACGACGUGAGAGGCGACCUUGGGCGCCAGGUUGUGCCAGUCCAUCACGGCGGCGCGGAACAGGCGCGGCGCGGCCACCGGCGACGGGAUCUCGAGGGUCCAGCUGUUGGAAGCCAUGGCUGGUGGUCUGCGAUGAGCUUUGGCUCGGUGCCUAGCUAGGUCUAGUUUGAUUAGCUGAUGCAAGUAGGUGGAGCUGCUGCUUGUGUUGCUGGAACGAGCGGCAAAAAGGGAUUUAAAUAGAGUGCGAUGAGCGCGGGGUUGGUGACGCUUUGCCCCGUUGGUGUCCGGUGGUGACUGGUGAGGCCUGAAAGUUGCUGGGCGAGUCGUCGCGCUUUUCCACAAUGGAUGGCUCUCCGUCGGUCGAGUGAGCUUUAUUAAUAAGGCGGGCGUCCAAAACACACGUCGUUGUCGCACACUCUUUGUCAAAACACGAGGAUAUAUUCGAGGAAUAUGUUGACCGAAUUGGCGGCUUGCCGCCACCUUCCGCUUGCACAAAUUGGUCUAGGUCUUAAAAACAAGCCAUGUAUGUCACAUUUGGUUGGUAUAUACAAGUAGUAUGUAAUGACUGUCAGAGUUCUAGAUAUUUGACUGCAUGGAUGUCUGCAUGCUGGAUAACUUCCAUUCUAGAACGAUAUGCCUUGACUAACAUGAAUUCAUCAUCUUUUGAAUUUAGACAUGAGAGGACUUAAGUUCCGUUUGACACAACUCAGUUUUAUUAUCGAAGCUGUUUCUUUAGAUAGCUUUAUGAGUAACUUUCUUGGCUGAGCUAUUUUAGAAAAUCAUUUUGUAAAAUAGUUUCACUAACAACUUUAUGCAUGGUUGAGAGGGGAAAAUGAGAGAGCUUUUUGAAAAGUUGUUUUUUAGUUCUACUUUUCCGUGGGAGCAUAAAAAAGGUGUUUGACAAAAGAAAAGAGUAAAGUCCAUCACCAGUCUCUAAACUUGUUUAGGUAUAUCAUCCCGGUCUCUAACUCGCAAAACGAUCGUUUAGGUACCUAAACUUGUUCGGCUAUAUCACUCUGGUCCCUAAACUUGGAAAUCUCAUAUAUAGGCCUUCAAACUUGUUUAGUUGUGUCAUCCCAGUCCCUAAACUUGUUUUUAAGUCUCGUCUGGUUCAAAACGGAACGAAUCUAAAAACUCUAUAAAUAACUCAUAACUUUUUCAUAUAAACUCAAAUAAAGAUAAACUUUAUAUUAAAAUUAUAGCCAACAAUGUGAUCUACAACUUUGUAGUUAAAAAGUUUUUAAACUAAAAUAAUUUAGGGUCUCAUUUUUUUGUAAGUUUAUUAAAUUUUGUGACACUAAAUGACUUCAAAUAAAAAACUUUUCAACUACAAAGUUAUAGAUCACAUUGAAGGCUACAACUUUAAUAUAAAGUUUGUUUUCAUUCAAGUUUAUAUGAAAACGUUAUGAAUUAUUUUUCUAUAUAGAGUUUUUAGAUCGCUUUGUUUUGACCCAGGUGAGACUCAAGACCAAGUUUAGGGACUGAGAUGACACAACUGAAUAAAUUUAAGGACCUAAAUGGGUAAUUUCUAAGUUUAGAAACCAGGAUGACACAUCUGAACAAGUUUAGAGACCGGAAUGAUAUAGACAAACAAGUUUAAUGACCUAAAUGAUCAAUUUAUGAGUUUAGGGACCGAUCGAGGUGAUACAACAGGUGGUGGAUUUUACUAUAAAAACUCACAACAACUCAUGAAGUUGUUGAUGAAGCUGUGCCAAAUAAGGCCUCACUUGCUGACGGUGUUGUCACCCUUUUCUUCUUAUCUCACCCUUUACAGAUCUUUUACAAGAAACAUCUUGUAAACAAAUCGUUGUCACCCUUUUUUUUUUGUUGAGUGACCCCUUCUCGCUCUAGCAAGAUCUUUUGCCGUUCUUCAAAUGGUAACAUGAUGUACCACUCAACAUGCAUGGGAGGUAAAAAAAAUGGUACCUAGGUACUAAUACUUUUGAUAGCUACAGUACCAAACUCAAGUUAUAUAUAGUUUUGAUACCUUACCAACGAUAAAAAAACUCCUUACAAAUGACUUCUAUGGCUUCUUAUAGACACUAGUUGCUAUAUGAUAUAAGGACACAACUAUGACAAUUAAGGAGUGGUGGGGUCUUUAUUAAAGGUUUGUUUGGACUUUGGAUACAAGGCGUAAUUGCUAGUUAGCUAAGAACUAGCUCGUGUAUCUAAAUAUGAGAGUUAAUAGGUGAGUUACUUUUAUAGUCAUUUUUUUUACUAGUCGUUAGUCAACAACCAGUAACUAGCCAUGUGUAUCUAAAUCUCCUACAACUAAAAAGAACAAAACGUGGAUACUUUUUGGUGCGACAUUCUAACGUGGGCCCAUAGUCCUGCCUGCUGCGUUCCCGUGGCCACUCUACAUCGUGCAUGACAUCCCUUGCGAUAUUCAAUUCAAAUCAAGAAUCGAUAUGUCAGGUUCCAGUUUUUAUACGAUUGCCAUAUGAAGCCUUUCCGCCAAAAGCCGUCCGACCACGGUGAAACAAAAAUAAUAAUAAAAUCUGCCCCAAUUCACGGACGGGUGACCAACGUGGCCAUGCAUGAAAGAAAUCGUCUAAAAAAUACUCAACUUUCCAUCUCUUCCGCUCCCUUUUCUUGAGAAAAAUGGUCAACCAUCGUGCAACUAAUCAGGAGACCAUCCCACCGAUCCCGCGUGCACAGCUGGCGGAAGCCCCUCGCGCGGUCACAAUCUCUCCUCAAUCAUGCACGGACAUCGCGUUCCUUAGGCAAAAGCAGAAAUUCCUCUCGAUCAUGCGCCGCCGCAACGAAACAUCUUCCUUUCCUGCCCGACGCCCUCGCUCUCGGUGCUUGGAGAGAUCGAGCCGAGCAUACCGGCUUCCCCUGAAGGCUUGAGACGGACACAGUUGACUGCUUCUUCGUCAUUGAUUGUCGCCAGCAACUGCGCCCUUGGCAUCGGUGUGGCCUUGCAAGAUUGGAUCUUUUUGUUUUCAUCCCAAUCAUCGCCAUGGCGGCCUCCUCCCCCUGAACGAUGAACGCAGCUGCUUCGUCAUUGAUGAUCAGCUUCUGACCCUUCACCAAUCUCUAUCCCCUAUUAUUUGUUCCAUCAUCUGUUCCACUUUCCACGAUUGAUUCAGUACUGGUGUUGCAAACUUAUUUCGAUUCUCAAAAAGCGAACAACCUGAUCGGUUUGGUAAGCAUCUUUCUAUUCCAGGCUAUCGAAGCUCUCAUUAAGCUUUUUGAUUCAGUUUGUGCCAAAGGUACGUUCUUGGCAAAUGCGAGCUGGCACCAUGAAGCAAAUUAUAGCUAUUGGAGUCCAGUAGAUAAUAUCUUGUGUGAUCUCCUUGUUCUUAAAUAGUGUAAUUUAAGAAAAAACUUAUUCAUGUUUGUUCUCUUCGACCUUUUUAGAUACAAGACACAGAUUAUUAUAUUGAUAUCAUAAUUGGUUGUGGCAUUGAGGUGUGUAAAUUUAUGCUUUUCUCUUUUCUGUCGGUGUUUAAACUCUCUUCUGAAUUCAUGCCAUCCAUUGACUCCAGGUGAGAAACACCUCCUGUUGUUUAAUUGUUUUUUUGCUCUUGCUUUCAGUAUGAAUAGUCAAAUAUAGUCAAAACAAUAACCUGGUUCAGUAGUAAUAAGGAAUCAAGCUAUUGCAACACUUCUUGUCAAAAAAAUGCAGCACUUCUAGAGUUGCUACGGGUUUUAAAAUUCUCACUUGCUGCACAUUAGGAGACGAAAUUCUUGGUUUCAGUUAGCAGAGUGACACUUAUCACUGUUAUCUAUAAGGCAAAUCUAACAACAUAGCACAGAUUGUGGACAUCAGUUUUUUUUUAGAAAGUGGACAUUGUGGGCGGCUGAGCGGGCACCUACGGGUGGGCGCGGCCGGCGUCAUGGCCAGCUCUGGGCGGGCGCGGGGUGGGGGAGGGGGGUGAUCAAGGCUGAAUCACAGGAAGGUUUCCUUUUAGGUGCUGUUAGCUUGGUUGGCUAAUCCCACACGCUUGAGGAGUUGCCUCUAGGAGGGGGCUGAAAUCACUUGGAGUUUCUUUUGAAUAUCGCAACGGGUGGAAAUAUUGAUCACGAAAAAAGUGGAAACAAAUAGCACCUUGGCUCUUUCCUUUUGAAUAUAGCAAAGGAUGCUGUAGGUGGGCGACGACGUUGUAGGCUCACAAAAUCACUGUCGUUUGCAAUAACAAAUACCUAUGAUUUAACUAUUUCUAUAUAUUGCUGAUCAUGAAUCUUCCUACAGGUACUUAAGUGGAUUUCUCAUCCUACAAUAUAUGUCUACAUGGAAUAGACCAAAAGCCACACAUAUUUAUACAGUGAGUCUAACACUUUGUCUAAGUUUUUGUAAAAGUUUUUUAACAAAAUAUAGUAUUACCCAUGCGACACACACUAAUAUUUACAUAUAUAUACUCGAAUGUGUGACAGGAUGGUACGAAGAUGCGGCAGAAUUUAUUUGUGGAUUUACUGGCACAUGAAAGAAAUGGAUAUCCGAGAUAUCUUCCCGUCGAUAUUAAACAUUAUCUUAGCCGUAUCACGGAAAGGUCUAUAAAGUAGAGUUUGUGAGCCUACAACGUCGUGCUCUUCGUGACUGUGUUUGAUUUCACAAACAUUGCGAUCCUACAAUGUCAUUUUCAAGUUGUUAUUUAAGUAGAAGAUUCUAAUAUUAUUAUCUUGUUAUGCGAUCUAUGUAUUUUAAAUAAAAAAUGUUAGCUAUCCCGUAGCAACGCACGGGCAUGCUAUCUAGUAGAGUAGAAUUGUAAAAGAGAACAAUGGUAAUUCUAGUGUACUAUUCUUGAGAUGUCUAGAAAUAACAAAAUAGAAGGGCUUUGCACGGAAAGAGGAAUGUACUGUGAAAAACAUGGCAUAACUUAUGCCGAGGCUGUUCGUUCCGUUAAAAAAAUAAGUUGAAAAGAAAGUAAUGUUCACUAAUUUAUUGUGUGAGAAAAAUAUUGUAUCAUAGCUGAUAAGUCUGUAGUGUCAUUGUUAUAUUCGUUUGUAACAUAAAUUUGCAAAACUCUACAUUUAACAUUUUCUCUUUUUUUUAGAAAAAAAUGGACAGACACGAGAGCUACCUUUUAUAUAGUACAGUCAGGCUUCUCCUUACGUGAUUGAGCAAAGCUCGGUUGAGCAAACAAGGAUGACACAUCUGAACAAGUUUAGAGACCGGAAUGAUAUAGACAAACAAGUUUAAUGAUCUAAAUGAUCAAUUUAUGAGUUUAGGGACCGAGAUGAUACGACAGGUGAUGGAUUUUACUAAAAAAACUCACAACAACUCAUAAAGUUGUUGAUGAAGCUGUGCCAAAUAAGGCCUCACUUGCUGAUGGUGUUUUCACCCUUUUCUUCUUAUCUCACCUUUUACAGAUCUUUUACAAGAAACAUCUUGUAAACAAAUGGCUUAACUCUUUUUGUUGAGUGACCCCUUCUCGCUCUAGCAGGAUCUUUUGCCGUUCUUCAAAUGGUAACAUGAUGUACCACUCAACAUGCAUGGGAGGUAAAAAAAUGGUACCUAGGUACUAAUACUUUUGAUAGCUACAGUACCAAACUCAAGUUGUAUAUAGUUUUGAUACCUUACCAACGAUAAAAAAACUCCUUACAAAUGACUUCUAUGGCUUCUUAUAGACACUAGUUGCUAUGAUAUAAGGACACAACUAUGACAAUUAAGGAGUGGUGGGGUCUUUAUCAAAGGUUUGUUUGGACUUUGGAUACAAGGCGUAACUGCUAGUUAGCUAAGAACUAGCUCGUGUAUCUAAACAUGGGAGUUAAUAGGUGAGUUACUUUUAUAGUCAUUUUUUUGACUAGUCGUUAGUCAACAACCAGUAAUGUGGGGGUAUAAACCCCUAUACCCUUACGGCUAGACUUCGGCCAGGAGGCUUGGCCCAUUACGAGACGAGUCCAAGGCUUGAUCCGACAACCUGGAGUUUCGCGCAAGGAAACAAGAUGUGGAGAUCAAGCAGGAUUCUAGUCGGUUAGAAUAGAAAUUGAUAUCGAAUUAUCCAUGACAAUUGUAACCGACUAGGGUUAGUUUCCGGAUCUGUAACCCUGCCCUCCAGACUAUAUAAGGAGAGGCAAGGGACCCCCCUAGGACAUCAUAUUCUCUCAACACAAAUCAAUACAACCAGACGCAGGACGUAGGUAUUACGCCAACUCGGCGGCCGAACCUGGAUAAAAAGCUUGUCCGUGUCUUGCGUCACCAUCGAGUUCGUAGUUUGCGCACCGUCUACCGAUAAACUACUACCGUGGGUAUACCCCAAGGUAGACUGCCGACUAGCUUUCGUCGACAGUGGCGCGCCAGGUAGGGGGUGUGCGUGCAACUUUUCCGGCGAACAAGAUGGUCACGAUCCCAGCUUCCGCGACCGUGCCCGAAGGCCUCACGUUCACCGUCGGCCAGAUCACGUGGACGGCGUGCAGCGGCGGCUUCACGACCACGGUUUCGGAAGAGAUCCAGAUCCAAUCUGAGUUCACGCCGUCUCCGACCACACGCAUGACGGCACCAAGCGCCCGACCACCGUUCCCACUCUACAAGGGAAAGGAGAUCGACUGCUCGGACCUUCUCCAAGCGCUUGAUCGCGCUGACUCCAAGCUACUCGAAGUUUCCCAACUAAUAGAUGGAGUUCUGCGUCGGCCCGACCAAGCUGCUCCAGCGGAUUUUUUCAAAUCCCGCCGGCCAACUCGUGUCGCCACACACGAACGGCUGGGAACGUCUCUGACGAUAACCUCAACCCCCUCAGGACGAUCCGUCCAGCUCAAGAAGGAAGACUAUCCUUGCGGCCUGAACAACUCGACCUCUGUUUACUCACGGCACACCCAAUCCGUUUUCAGCAAGGCGGGUUGGUCGCCGACAACGAACAAUCGUCACCACGUCAACAUGGUGACAAUCCGAGAACUACGGGACGGCCAGGCUUCCAGCACCAACUCAAGCACCGGCUCCGUCCCCACCGAGGUUAUAAACACCGAAGACGAGGACUAUGACCUGGAUUUCCCUUCAUACCCUCCGGGUUUCGACCGAUUCCCGAUAUUCCCCCCCCGGCGAGGGGAUAUUGUGUUCAAUGUCAGCGCCGACGAACCGGUCGUUGAUGGAGAAACAGAUGACCAGAGGCAACUCCGCGAACGGCGUAACGCCGAUCGCGCCCGACGACGCGCGGACGAGCAACAACAAAUGCCACCAAAUAAUCUCAACGAUGCCUUUGACAUGGUCGGGGACCAGCCAGUCUACAAAACGCCAAGCGCCAACGUGGCUGUCGCCAUGGCUAACCUGGAUCGGCUUCCCGACACCCCCGAAUGCCAGGGAGUCCGGACCAGCAUCCGAGCACACCUGAUCGCCGCAAUGGGACAGACGGCCACUCUGCUCAAGAGAGUCUAGGACGUCUCUUAUACGGAAGCCGUCUCCGACCAGACUAAUCAUAGCCGGGCCUCACCCAGCAGGCGUCACCGCAGCCGCUCCCCCGACAACCGUCGAGGGGACUCACGGCGCGACGAUGGUGGUCGGGACGCCGAUGGCCGCCGCAAGCAGAACCGCGUACGCGGCCAAGAGGAAGAUCAACACAGGGAUCUCCGCCACAACAUCCCUUCCAAAGAUGCCCGGGACCACAUCAACAGGCGCGCUGCAGAGAGAGCAGUCCACGAAAACCUGCGCCGCAUCGAGUACGAUGCAACACACGGUCCCCCGGGCCUAAGACAGUUCUCCUCGCACCUCCGCCAGGUCGUGUGGCCCCGCAAUUUCAAGCUCGAAAAACUCAAAAAGUACGACGGCAAGGAAAAUCCAGAGAACUGGAUCACCCUCUAUGACAUCGCCGUCCGAUCAGCGGCAGGGGACGAGCACGUCAUGGCUAACUACUUCCCCGUAGUCCUCGACCAGGCUGGUCAUCAGUGGCUUCUCGGCUUGCCCGAGGACUCCUUCGACUCUUGGGAAGAGCUACGCCAGGCUUUCAUCGACAACUUCAUCGCCACAUGCGAGCAGCCUGGAAACAAGUAUGACCUUGAAAGGAUAAGGGACAGGAAGAACGAACCUCUGCGCGAUUACAUCCGACGAUUCUCGGAUAUGCGCCUCAAAAUCCCGAAGAUUUCUCAUGACGAGGCCAUCUCAGCCUUCAUCAAGGGCCUGCGUUUCCACGAAGCGCUGAGGAACAAGCUGUUGCGUAAGCGUCCAACAACGGUAGCAGAGCUCCUCGCCACGGCCAAAAAUUACGCCGAUGCCGAUGACGCAGAAAAACUAAUCCGAGACGAUGCGAGGGGUCCCGACCAGCCUCCCCGACGAGAUGAUGGUCGUGGUCGCAACGACAGCAGAAAUCACCGCCGCUCCGACAACCGCGAUCAUCGAGAGGGUUGGGAUCGGCGGCGCGACAGCCGCGAUGACUUCAGAGGAAAGCGCCCUCGCGACUACGACCACGAAGUAAAUACGGUCAAACGACCCAAUGGACGACGGGACUACCAAGAAGACUACAACAAAACGUUGAGGGGACCAUGCCAACUACACCCAAAGUCCAAUCAUACCAUGGAAGAGUGCCGCGUCCUCAAAAGUAUCUAUACACGGCGGGCCGCCCAAGACGACUCCGCCAAGAAAAACAACAAGCGCGACGCGCACGACCACGAAGAUGAGGAUGAGGACCAAGAUAGGGACCCCCGACACCAAUACGUCAGCCCCACUGACGUGGUCCACUCCAUUUUCGGGGGCAAGGUCUCCACUGAGUCCAAGCGAGAAAGAAAGCUGUUAAAGAGAGCCUGCCUCAACAUAGACAGCACGGACGGGCUGAUCGCAGACCCGAAAUUUCCCACGUGGUCCCACAGGGAGAUCUCGUUCAGCAGGAAGGACCAGUGGGCCGCUAUCCCAGAGCCGGGUCGUUUCCCCCUGAUUCUUGACCCCUGCAUCAACAGCAUCAGAUUCGAGCGCGUGCUCGUGGACGGGGGAAGCUCCAUCGACAUCCUCUUCCGCAACAGCCUGCCCGCCCUCAAGAUAUCCCCGGCACAACUAAAACCUUACGACGCCCAAUUCUGGGGGGUUUUGCCAGGUCAAAGUUCCGUGCCUCUCGGACAGAUAACAUUGCCUGUCCAAUUCGGCACACCCGACCACUUCCGGACAGAGUUCAUCAACUUCGUAGUCGCGGAUUUCGACGGGACCUAUCACGCCAUACUGGGCCGCCCAUCGCUGACAAAGUUCAUGGCAGUCCCGCACUACUCAUACCUAGUCCUUAAGAUGCCCACGGAGAAGGGUGUCCUAACCAUCAGAGGCAACGUCUACACUGCGUACACCUGCGAAGAAGAAAGCUUCAAGAUCACCGAGGCAAUUGACCUCUCAAUCCGCAUGGCGGAAACAGCAAACCAAGCCGCACAGCUGCCUCCCGACCAGCUCCGAUUACCCGAACAGGCGACAGCCAGGAAGAACUCAAAAUCCAAGGAGUACAAAGAAGUGCAGCUGGUCGAAGGCAACCCCGAGAAGACAGCCCUCAUCGGGGCCAACCUGGAUCCAAAAUAGGAAGACGCGCUCGUCAGGUUUCUAAGGGACAACGUGAGCGUUUUCGCAUGGAAACCCGCAGACAUGCCCGGUGUCCCACGAAACCUGAUCGAGCACUCCUUAAAUGUCUCGAAGACCGCAAGACCAAUCAAGCAAAAACUGCGACGGUUCGCUCGUGACAAAAAGGAGGCUAUUAGGACAGAAAUAACACGGCUUCUAGCAGCCGGAUUCAUAAAAGAAGUGUAUCACCCCGAUUGGCUCGCCAAUCCGGUUCUUGUACGCAAAAAGAAUAAUGAAUGGAGAAUGUGCGUUGAUUACACUGAUCUCAACAAACACUGUCCUAAAGAUCCUUUUGGUCUCCCUCGCAUCGACGAGGUGGUCGACUCAACGGCCGGAUGCGAACUCCUCUCCUUUCUAGACUGCUACUCUGGUUAUCACCAGAUCUCGCUAAAGGAAGAAGAUCAGAUCAAAACAUCCUUUAUCACACCCUUCGGCGCAUACUGCUACACGACCAUGUCUUUCGGACUCAAAAACGCCGGAGCCACUUAUCAAAGGGCCAUCCAGCAAUGCCUCCACGACGAGAUUCGUGAUGACCUCGUCGAGGCCUAUGUGGACGACGUGGUCGUAAAAACAAGGGACGCGAGCACCCUAAUCGACAACUUAGACCGAACCUUCAAGGCACUUAAUAGGUACAAGUGGAAGCUCAACCCCAAGAAAUGCAUUUUCGGCGUUCCUUCCGGUCUACUGCUCGGCAACGUUGUCAGUUGCGACGGCAUACGACCAAACCCUUCAAAAGUAAAGGCGGUACUCGACAUGCGACCACCGAAGAACGUAAAGGAUAUCCAAAAGCUAACAGGAUGUAUGGCCGCCCUCAGUCGCUUCAUCUCAAGGCUAGGAGAAAAAGGCCUCCCUUUCUUUAAACUGUUAAAAGCGUCGGAAAAAUUUUUUUGGACAGAAGAAGCCGACACCGCAUUCAACCAGCUUAAGACCUUCCUCACUUCACCACCUGUCCUUACAGCCUGGAGUUUCGCACAAGGAAACAAGAUGUGGAGAUCAAGCAGGAUUCUAGUCGGUUAGAAUAGAAAUUGAUAUCGAAUUAUCCAUGACAAUUGUAACCGACUAGGGUUAGUUUCCGGAUCUGUAACCCUGCCCUCCAGACUAUAUAAGGAGAGGCAAGGGACCCCCCUAGGACAUCAUAUUCUCUCAACACAAAUCAAUACAACCAGACGCAGGACGUAGGUAUUACGCCAACUCGGCGGCCGAACCUGGAUAAAAAGCUUGUCCGUGUCUUGCGUCACCAUCGAGUUCGUAGUUUGCGCACCGUCUACCGAUAAACUACUACCGUGGGUAUACCCCAAGGUAGACUGCCGACUAGCUUUCGUCGACAAGUAACUAGCCAUGUGUAUCUAAAUAGAGUAGAAUUGUAAAAGAGGACGAUGGUAAUCCUAGUGUACUAUUCUUGAGAUGUCUUGAAAUAAUAAAAUAUAGAAGGGCUUUGCACGAAAAGAGGAUGUGAAAAACAUGGCUUAUGCCGAGGCUGUUUGUUCGGUUAAAAAAAUAAGUUGAAAAUAAAGUAAUGUUCACUAAUCUAUUGUGUGAGAAAAAUAUUGUAUCAUAGCUGAUAAGUCUGUGUGUCAUUGUUAUAUUCGUAACAUAAAUUUGCAAAACUCUACAUUUCUCCCUUUUUUUUAAAAAAAAUGACAGACACGAGCUACCUUUUAUAUAGUACAGUCAGGCUUCUCCUUACGUGAUUGAGCAAAGCUCCUGCCAUUUCUUAAAAAAAUGCAAGCUCGGUUGAUAAGGGUUUUGCCGUUUGAGGCUUCCGUUGAGCAUCACGUUUGUGUAAACUCAGAAAAUAAACUAAAAGCUGCUGUGAAGUGAUUUCGUGGCUUUUGAUUUGUUCUGGAAGCUAAAUAAAUAUUAAAUAAAUUUAAUAAUAAAAAUACAGCUACAAAAUCAGCUUUUAUGUCAGAAGUACAAAAGGUACCGCUCAAACAAACUAGCCCUUAGGGGGGCGUUUGGUUGCCUACACCAGUCCUCCUGAGCCAGGCUCUCCGCGUGCGAGAACAGACAUUUGUUUGGUUGGCAUAUGUGCCGAGCGAGGCUACACGCGUGCAAAAAGCCUCUCGCAGCCAGGCUCUGCUGAAACGCAGAAAUCGGCCGUUUUUGUUGGGCCUGGCUCACCUCAUGCGAGCAAGCACUGAACGAUGCAUGACGUGUGAGAUAGAGAUACGUGAACACGGUGAACCAAACAGAUGCUGCUGUUGGCCUAGCUGUAGUGAUCCAAGUAACCAAACAAGAUGCUAUCGCAUACAUAGAGCCUGGUCAAAGUUGGCCUGACUAGCUCUGUGCGAGCUAGGCUCUACCGAGCAACGAACCAAACAGUCUCUAGAUGUCUUCUUCUCACUGUGUGAAAAAAUGGCAUUACAGACGCGCCUUUACUGAUAUCACAGAUGCUCCUGAGUGCGUCAGUGAUAUAAAGUCUGAUAAAUAUUUAAUAAGACCUUAAUACUGACGCACUUCUAACAUCCGUAUGUAAGUAACACAUAGACACGUCAGUAGUAAAGCUUUUUCAGCGACGCCUAUCUAGAACACACGUCAUUAAGGUCCAGCUCGUCAGUACAAAAUUCUAACUGCAGACGCUUCUUCAGGAAUAGGGGUCUGUAGUAAGGAUUAAGCCACAGACGCAUUAUCCAGAGACGCGUCUACAGUAUGAAUUAAAUUGUAACAGUACCAUCGGCAUAUCUCUGUACUAAAUACCUCAAUGAAACGACAUAAAUACACAUCAACAUCUCAUUAAUUAGUACACAGCUUUAACACAAUCAAAUACAGAUCAAAGUUUAAUCACUAAAUUAAAUGUGUAGCUCUAAUAAAGUCACGUUACCUUAUGGCUGGCUAUCGAAUAACUUAUUUUGUAGCUUGAUCAAAACUGGCUCGUGGUCACCAGCGCACCAUGUGUGUCCAUUCAUCCAUGGCAGCUUAGGCGCGUGGCUUUGGCUUUGUGUCUCCCACCUCUCUAGUGAACGCGAUAGCUCUUGAAGUUUUUAUAUUUUCCAAAAUAAUUUCAAUUUUAAACGCGUACUAAAACAAAUUCAGGGUUACUGAUACAAAAUAUGAGAUCGGGUCGUAGAAAAAAGUGCCGAGAGAAAAACUUUUAGAAUAAAAAUAUAGAAAACUUUUGAAGAUGAUUUCUUUUUUUACUCCUCAUGUUAAUCUAGGAGUUCAUAAACAUGAUAUUUUGGGGAAUAUAAUAUAAAAGAUCUCUUGGAGAUGCUAUCUUUUCUUCCACCUCUCUAGUGAACGGUAUAGCUCUUGAAGCACAAAUCCAAUUCUACGGACGUUCAUUCAUUCUACCUCUUGAAGCUUUCAUAUUUUCCAAAAUAAUUUCAGUUUUCAAGACAUAUUCACUGGAACAGCCUCCCAAUAUCUAUUCAAAAUGUAUUCACACGAAAAAGUAAAUAUAUAUUCCAAAUGAGCAAAAUUCCUUAUUUGGUCAAACUUGCGUAGGAUUCCAAAAGGGUUUUUUUGAACGGUGCCAUUACAAUUUCAAAGUAUUUGAAAUAUGCCAUUAUAAUUCAGGUAUCCUGAAGCGGACCAUUACAAUUCUUGCAAAAUUUGAAAUAUGCCAUUGGAUACGGUAGAAGGACGCUUGGGCCUGCUUGCAAGCCGACGUGGCAUACGGUCGACCGUAUGCGCCCGUCGCCGUGAGCCAUCUAAACGGCGCGGCAAAAAACGCCGUCUCCACCCCGCCCCUGACUCAUUCUCGCUCUCCAUCUCUCUGUCUCUCUCGAGCGUAACCCUAGGCGCGGCGGCGGCGGCGUGGCGGCGGCGGCGCAGGGGGAGGCAAUGGAAUAGGGGCGCAUGUCCAUGGCAGACGUGCCCCCGUGCACGGCGCAGCGCAGGGCGCCGCGGAUGGGGGAUAGCAACGAAAGGUAAUGUUUUGUCCUUCCAGAGCACGAAUACGAGUGCAUUAGGUCUUGAUCUGUUGAUUGGCAUUAGAUAUUGAUGUGAUUUGGUUGAUGCUAGGGUUCCGCUAUUUUCUUUAGAAAUUAAAGUGGAAGCAUUCUGUUGGAGAGACUCUUUGGGUAGGAAAGCUUACACAAAGGGCUCUGUAAUUAAGUGGGAUGUGGAGAUUGGCUCGUUUUCAUUUGAUGUACUGAUGGCCAGCUUGCGCAAUGCUGUCAAUUGCUCUACUACUCAGUGUCCAGUUGCUUGGUUCUAUGAUAAAAGGUUGUCUCAAGAUGUCAUGCUAGAAAAUCAAUUCCAGAUUAAUGAUAUGUUUGAGAUGUAUAAGGAGGAGAUGCAUUGCCACAUUGUCGUAGGGGUAUUUGAUCAGUCUGUUCCCACUAUUGAUCAAUUUGAUGAACUAGAUCUUCCUCCUGACACUAGCACUGGCAACCCAGCCAGUACUGACAGUUAUGUUAACCAGCCCACAUUUGAGGCAGAUGUUGCACCAGAGGCUGAAGUUGAGACUCAACUUGAGCCUGAUAGGGAACCUGAUAUGUUUGAUAACGAUGAGGAGUAUGUGGGUUGUGAUGAUGAGGGCAUGUACAUGCCAACACCACCAACACAGCCUCCUAGUAAUUCACCUCCACAUGCUUCUCAUGAUGCUGAAAAUGCUGAUGCUGAUGCUGAUGCUUUUCCUGUUGAGGCAGAGGUCACUGAUGCAGACCCUGAAGAGAUCAAUAUCAUUCAUGACCCAGAACAUCCCAAGAUUGUAAAGGGGGAGUUAUUUCCUGAUAUUGUUUCAUUCAGGAAAGCUAUCAGGCAUUUCUCUGUUACUAAAGGCUAUGUGUUAGCUGGUAUCAAAACAGACCCAUCAAGAUUUAUUGCAAAGUGCAAAUCCGAGGGAUGUCCUUGGCGCAUACAUGCAUCUAGGCUGCAGGGUAGAAAGACAAUACAGGUAACUGUCUAUUCACUAGUUCCUUUGUGCAAGUUUUAUUUUUUCUUUACCUGACAUGUUUCGUAUGCACAGAUCAAAGUACUGCCUGCAGAAGAUGGCAUCACAGUCUUGGUGUGCAGAUAGGCUGGCAGAUUGGAUAAAAAAACAUCCAACAAAACGUGCAAAAGAGUGCAGGGAGAAGUUGGAAGAUGAUUAUGGCAUCAAGCUGAAGUAUUCAAAGGCUUGGUCAGGUAUGCAGUGCGCAUUGGAUCAAAUCCAUGGUAAAUAUGAGGAAAGUUUUCAACUGCUAUUCAAUUGGGGUGCUCAAAUUGAAAAGGUAUCUCUUGGUAGCACUGUAGUGGUAGAGGUUGACAAAAUUGGUAAGAAGAACAGAUUCAAAAGAAUGUUUGUUGCUCUAAAGCCUUAUGUAGAUGGAUUCUUGGCUGGUUGUAGGCCUUUUUUGGGUAUAGAUGCAUCUUGUUUGAAUGGAAAGUAUAGAGGUCAGCUAGCUUCAGCAACCAGUGUAGAUGGACAUAAUUGGUUGUAUCAUGUAGCUUAUGGCAUUUUUGACAUAGAAAAUGAAGACAACUGGACAUGGUUCUUGCAACUUCUUAGUAGAGCAAUUGGGCCUGUCCCAAAUCUUGUAGUUUGUACAGAUGCAUGCAAAGGCGUGGAGAAUGCAGUGGGUAAAACUUUUCCAACAGCUGAGAAUAGGGAAUGCAUGAGACAUAUGUACCAAAACUUUUAUGAAGCACUAUUCUAGUGAUGUAUUCACAGACCACCUUAUCCUACAGCUAGAAGUUACACUCAAGAAAAAUUCCAGUGGCACAUGAAUCAGAUACAUGAGUAUGCUCCUCAAGCUAUAGAAUAUAUUGAGAAUUACCACAGCAGGAUAUGGUACAGGUGUGGGUUCUCAGAAAGUAGCAAGUGUGAUUAUUUGACCAACAAUGUGUCAGAAAGCUUCAAUGCACAGGUGAAGCACCUCAAAGGUUUAUUAUUACAUGAACUGGUAGAUGUUGAUAUUUGGUAACGCAAUAAGGAAAUAAUCCGCAAGCGCACGGAUAUCGGUGAGCAUUUCACCCGGGAGGUUUUCCAGAGUAUCGUAUUUAUAUUUUUACCACUGGGAGAAAGGGUGCAUCUGACUAACCAAAUCUAUUGCUACUAUCCCUUUAGGCUACAAAGAAUGUUUCUCAAUGUGAGUGAUAUAUAGAGAAGACUGCAACCGUAGUCUCGUUCUAACCUUGGUAAGGAUGAUCUACUGUUCUAUUGGGGAAGCUUACGGAAUCUAGACACCACAAAGGAUGUUUGACCCGCACCUAUAAACCUACCCGUCCUGCUAACAAGAUAUGGGAUACAAAGGUAACUCGGAAAUGUCACGUUCCUCGCUACUACCACGGUCCAGCUAGUCAGGGGAUAUCUAUGAGUACCCUAGUGAAAGGUCCUAAUAUGGCUAGAGGGGGGUGAAUAGCCUAUUUAAAAAUUCUACAAACUCACUAGAGCGAGAGGUUAGUAAAUAACAAAGCGAAGCCUUUUGCUCUAGCUCUAAUGGGGUGUUUGCAAGCCACCUGUCCAACAAUUCUAGUUGAUAUAAUCACUAGACACACAAGAGCUAUGUCACUACUUACACUAGAAAGCUACCUAAAGUUUCUAUACAAGUAAGUAAGCUACUCUAGUUUGCGGGAAUGUAAAAGAGAUGGUUUUAACUUUAUACCGCCGCAUAGAGGGGAUGAACCAAUCACUAAUAUGAAGUCCAAUCACCGGGAGAAAUCCAAUGAACAAUCACAAUGGAUACACACAAUUUUACUCCCGAGGUUCACGUGCUUGCCGGCACGCUACGUCCCCGUUGUGUCGACCAACACUUGGUGGUUCGGUGGCUAAGAGGUGUAGCACGAACCUCGUCCUCACUAGGACACCACAAGAACCUACCCACAAGUGAGGUAGCUCAAUGACACGAGCAAUCCACUAGAGUUACCUUUCGGCUCUCCGCCGGGGAAGGUACAAGACCCCUCACAAUCACCGGGAGAUGGCCACGAACAAUCACCAACUCGUGCUAAUCCUCCUCCGUUGCUCCAAGCCGUCUAGGUGGCGGCAACCACCAAGAGUAACAAGAAAACCGCAGCUAGAACGAUCCCCAAGUGCCACUAGAUGCAAUCACUCAAGCAAAUUCACUUGGAAUCACUCCCAAUCUCACAAAGAUGUUUAAUCUAUGAAGGAGAUGAGUGGGAGGUGUUUGCUUAGGCUCACAAGGAUGUUAUGUAUGUUAGAAUGCCAAGAGAGUGAGCCCCAAGCCGGCCAAACACGUAUUUAUAAGCCCCUCAAGCAAAUAGAGCCGUUGGCACUUUCACUGGGCAAACUGCGGGGUCACCGGACGCUCUCAAAGGGGCACCGGACGCUCAACACCAGCGUCCGGUGCUCCAACGUCAGCCAUGUGUCGCCUUUUGAAAAACUCGUGUCAGAGUCUAACGGUCACCUGCAGUGCACCGGACGCUAAGCAAGUUAGCACCGGACGCGUCCGGUGCACACCGGACUCAUGCGCAGAGAGCUCCGCAAACUCGCACGGUCACCGGACGCAAGCCACCGGACGCACCCUGAGCAUCCGGUGCUCACCGAACUCAUGCGCAGAGAGGGUUGCAAAACGCCCUCACACCGGACGCUAACCACCGGAAGCGUCCGGUGCUCACCGGACCCAUGCGCAGAGAGGGUCGCAAAACGCCCACACACCGGACGCGCACCACCGGACGCUCAAGCCAGCGUCCGGUGCCUAUCGUCCGGUGCCUUACCCUAGCUGGGCCAGGCACUGUCUGCACCGGACGCUCAGACGCAGCGUCCGGUGCUCCAGAAGCCAGCGUCCGGUGAGUGUUUUCUCAGCGAGAAACACUCCCACGACUACUCCAAAUUUCCUACCGACGCAAUAGAAAAUAUGCAUUUUAUUUUCUCGAAAAGCGCCGAAUCCCACCUCGCAAGCUCGGCGGGAGGGAGAGAGGAACCCAUCCUCUCUCUACGUACUCUUCAAACUCCACCUCCUUCUCAAAGUGUGCCAACACCACAAGUGUAAACCAACAAGUGUGCACGUGUGUUAGCAUUUUCACAAUCAUUUUCUUAGAAGGAGUUAAGUUAGCUCACUAGGUUCUAAAUGCAUACACAUGAACAAUGACACCUAGUGGCACUUGAUAACCGCUUAGCCAAAGAAUUCCCCUCUUUAUAGUACGGCUAUCUAUCCUAAAUGUGAUCACACCCUCUAUGGUGUCUUGAUCACCAAAACCAAAACCCUAAGCAAUACCUUUGCCUUGAUCUCCAUAGGGUUUUGUUUUUCUCUUUCUUCUUUUCCAAGUUGAGCACUUAAUCAUCUUGUGGUCAUCACCAUGAUCAUCAUGAUCAUCACUUGCUCCAUCACUUGGCAUGUACCAACCUCAUUAAGUCUACACACACUUAGUAUAGAGGUUAGUACUAGGGUUUCAUCAAUUAUCCAAAACCAAACUAGGGCUUUCACCUAGCCUAAACACCACGUUUACGCUAGCAAUAAUUACUCUAAUACUCAACCGGAAGAGGAUUAAAUUAAACUCAUAAACCAAAGAACAAUAAAACAAGAACUUACUAGAAUUAGAAGUCGAAUUACUGAAGAAUCUUAGAAGCAAGCCUCGGGUUAGAAGACUUGAUCCCGCAGGUACAACUCGGAGUAGACACCGACAGGUCGGCCUUCCUCCGAUCUACACCUCCACUCUAUCUCUCUCAAUCUAGUAGAAACUAGAAGAUCUAUUUCUACUUACAUUGGUUGCUAAGCCUAAAAAAAUAUUAUUUAGAGAAGAGGUUUUCCUUCGAGGGCACCCCUCAAUCUCUAUGAUAACUUCUUGUCUUCUCCAGGGGCCAGGGGGGUCUCCUUAUAUAGUCCUCCUCCUCUAUGCGUUUUUGGGUCGGUAGGCGAUGUGGUACUACAUUAUCCUUGAUCCAUUAGGUCGGUGGAACAUCGUGUGCGAAGAGAGUCCCGAACGGAGUCUAGGACACGGCGGGCGCCCAGGGAAAGAGGGCGGGCGCCCUGGGCCUGGCCCCUUUCGGCCUCUGCUUUCUUCCCGUGGCUUCUGGAGUCUUCUAGAUGGUAGAAAAUUACGCGGUGCGUUGAUAUCUCUAUGUAAUCCCGACAUGUGGGCCUUUCUUCCGUAUUUUUUGAUAACCCCCUGCAGAAAUAGACAAACACCAAAACUCAUGGAAUUCUGUCAGAUAAAACCCUAAGUCUAGAUGUUGAUUUCAUUUGGAUCCUUUUCUUUGUUUAUUUGAUAAUUAAAUUUGAUACUUAAGGACCGUCAACAGUAGACAGAAUUAGAGAGCUUAUAAUGGAGAAGAGAUAUUUGAGGAAGAAAGUUGCUAGGCAGUGGGAAGAUGGAAUCCUCCCAAAUGUGAUGAAGGAUUGUUGGGUAUUCUUAACAUCAUUACCAAAAGUAGACUAAGUUCUCUAAAUCUAGUAACGGUGCCAAAAAUGCCAAACCUAUCCCUCACACCACUUAAGCCAAGUUGUCAUCCCCAGCAUGACAUGAGAGACGCGGUAUUGAAAUAUGCAAUUGCUCUUCUAAAUAAAUAAUGAAUGAGAUCUGCAAGCGCACAGAUUAAUACCGAUGUAGCAUUUUAACCGGGAAGUAUUCUAGGUAUCGUUAUUUAUAUUUUUACCACUGGGAAGGGAUUAGCAAUCAUCACUAUUGAUUACAGAAUAGAAUAUGAGAUUGAGCAUCUAUCAUUGCAUGUAUAAUUGAGAACAUUUAUCUAACUCUUCAUACAGGGAUAAGUGUCACAUAAAAGAUAUAUGAAAUAAUAAUAGUGACAAGGAUAACUAAUCUGAUCUAGCCACAUAAUAAAUAUGAUAAGCACCUCAAUUAGAUACUCUAGAAAGUCAUUAGCAUGGUAUUAGAACGAACUAUAAGAAUAUUCCCUAAGUUAUUCUCAACUAUAUAGUUUAGCAUUAUCAUAGUUAGUGCAAGCAUACUUAGCAAUCAUUGUGAGACAAGACUACGCCCAUGCAUAGUGAUAUUAGCAAGGAAUAUGAGAAACAUAGCAAUCACUCCCCUAUAAUAAUGUUGCUCUGCCAGCCCAAUACACGAGAGGGGGACUAUAUAAGAAUCAAUGAAGCUGUCACUAUCACGAACCACCCCACGAUCUGGCAUAUUGGGUACAAUCGCAGAUAAAUAUGGUAUAAGCACCACGCCUACACAAUAUCUAUCAUUUACCCAUGGAUCCGAUGGAUAAACGCUAUACGAUCCUAAGCAUGUAUAUAGAUCGAAUCUAACUAAGCCAAGUACAUAACUAUGAUAAACUAAGAACAAUAUAAUCUUGAAUAUAAGCAAGUAGAGCAAAGUCAUAAGCAAUAUAUUGAAGUAGAACAAAGUCAUAUUUAUAAUAUUGAAGAACAAAGAUAAUUAGAAAGUAAUUAGAAGCACAAUUAGAGAAUUACCAAGAAUCCUCUUGACAGAUCCGGAAACCAAUCGAAGAUUGACUCCUUCUAGUUCUAAUCCUAUGUAGCUAUGCUAAUCUAGAUAUCUAAUUGAUGUGGUGGCUCUAAUCUUGAUCAGAGGCUUCUUCUCCCUUGAAGAACAAUGAAUUAGGGUUGAGAGGCUCCCCCCUCUAGGGGCCAGGGGGUCUGGUUUUAUAGUCCCUUCAAGUGAAUAUGGGCCGUUGGAUCAAACCGACAUAGAUUGUAUGGUUUAGAUUCAUCCUUUAGGUCGGUGGAAAUCUCCCACGAAGCAGAGUCCUGAUUGGACUCAGGAGGUGGGCGGGCGCCCUGAUCACCUGGGCGGGCGCCCAGGGUCACGCCCCGUUUCGCCUCCGCUUCGGUUUCGUGGCUUCUGGAGUCUUCUAGAUGUAAGAUAAUUGCGCGACACGUUAAUAUCUCUAUGUAAUCCCGACGUGUGGGCCUUUCUUCCGUAUUUCCUGAUAACCCCCUACAGAAAUAGACAAACACCAAAACUCGUGGAAUUCUGUCAGAUAAAACCCUAAGUCUAGAUCUUGAUUUCAUUUGGAUCCUUUUCUUUAUUUAUUUGAUAAUUAAAUUUGAUACUUAAGGACCAUCAACAAGGAUCUCAACCUGAUCAGUACUCAACUCAAUGUAGUCAAGGUCAAAGUCAGUGAUGAUAACACUGCUGAAGUUACAAUCCUGGAGUGGGAGAAGCAAAGGAGGCACACUGUGGACCUAGGAAACCACAAUUGUUCCUGCAGGCAGUGGCAAGUGACUGGAAAGCCAUGUAAGCAUGCUUUGGCUUGGAUACUGUCAAUCCCAGGGAUGAGAAUUGAGGAUUAUGUACAUGAGUACUAUUCAGUUGCUAGAUUUAAGGCAGCUUAUGCUGAUAGGAUUGAGCCUAUCCCAGACAAGGAUGAAUGGCCUGUUGUCAACCUUGGUUUUAAAGUGUAUCCUUCAUUGCUAGGCAGAGGUCCAGGAAGGCCAAGGGUUGUAAGAAUUAGAGGGACUUUUGAGCAGAGGGCCACGAAGAAGAAAGUUAGGUGCAAGAGAUGUGGUGACUUUGGACAUUUUUCCAAGACCUGCAAGUUGCCAGAACUAGGUGAAGAUGGAGAAAGAGGACAAGGGUCUUCAAAAAGGUAUUAAAACUAUUGUCUAACCAUUUUAUUAUUUUUUCCUAUGUACUAAGAUCUAACCGGCUAUUGUCAUCUCAACGCAGAAAGAGGCCGACUCAGCAAGUGUCAUCACAGGAAGCUCCAACGCAGGAAGUACCAACACAGGAUGAUGCUGGACCUUCCCAGGUGAAGAAGACCAAGCCUCUGAAGAAGGUUACAACUAAGAAGAAGAAGAAGACACCAAAGAAAACAAAGCUGCAGAGGGAAGCAGCUGCACCUGGGAAGGCUGUUAUCAGCAGCAUCAGGCACCUGAUCUAUGAUGCUCCACAGGAUGCUGAUCUAUGAUUCUCCACAGGAUGCUGAUCUAUGAUGCUCCACUUAUAUGGCUUUGUUCUGAACCUUACUAUGUAAUGAGGCAUUAGAAUGCCAACUUGGAACUUGUAUGGCUGAUGCUGCUACUAUGUAAUGAGGCAUUAGAACUUGCCAACUAUUUUCAGUCAUGUGAACUCUACUUAUGUUAGUUUGUACUCUCCUGUAUUGUGUCAAUUAUCAUGUGAACUCUACUUAAAAUGUUAAGAAAACAAGACAAAGUGCUGCAGAAAUUCUAAUAUAUUUUGAAGCUGAAAUUCUAAUCUAUUUUCAGUGACAAAAGGCAUAGGACAAUGCUGAUCAUACUCAUCGAAGAAACUCAGUGACAAAAUGCUUGUUCUUUCAUUGCAAAUACACAUAAUUACAGUCACUUCAUCAUCUGAGAAAAACCUACACCUAGCAGUACACCCACAAGGACACCUACAACAACAGAUACAUCCAACACAAUUUGCAUUUUCCCCUUCCUGCCCAAGUCCAGUGCUGGACUCUGAUUACUAACUUGACUAGGAACAGCAACAACAUCUCUGUCUCCAAGUUGCACCUUCAUUUUCUCAAGUUCAGUGACAACUCUAUCUAGAGUUUGCUUCAUCUCCUUGUCCCGUUGAUUCAAAUCAUCAUUAGGAUCCCCAACUGCUGAAUGAAGGGGCAACUGCAGCUGAAUCUCUUUCUCCUUUUGCUUCAUAAACCAUGCCUCGUACUGCUCCUCCGAACGAAUCCAGCCACAAGUUGUUGGAUCACCCUGUGCAAGCAACACCAGUCAAAUUGAAAACAAAGGAAGCACAUUCAAGGGCAUAAACAAUGCAAAUAGUUACCUUUACGUUGUUUGGGCACUUGAUGAAUGCGACAUCCUUUGAGUGCUCUUGCUUGCUCACGAUUCGGAUCAAAGGAACAUUGCACACUGGGCAGUUCAGUAGGGGGCACUGCACCCUUCUACUGCCAGCAGCGGAAGAGCUCGAGGCCAUCUUCAUCUGCAGCGCCGCCGUCGGGAUCGUGGCACCGGAAUCGCCGCCGCCGCGCCUAGGGUUACGCUCGAGAGAGACAGAGAGGUGGAGAGCGAGAAUGAGUCAGGGGCGGGGUGGAGACGGCGUUUUUUGCCGCGCCGUUUAGAUGGCUCACGGCGACGGGCGCAUACGGUCGACCGUAUGCCACGUCGGCUUGCAAGCAGGCCCAAGCGUCCUUCUACCGUAUCCAAUGGCAUAUUUCAAAUUUUGCAAGAAUUGUAAUGGUCCGCUUCAGGAUACCUGAAUUAUAAUGGCAUAUUUCAAAUACUUUGAAAUUGUAAUGGCACCGUUCAAAAAAACCCAUUCCAAAAUAGAAAGUCCUUUUCCUUCCCAAACAGAAAACCAUGUUUAUCUGCCAACAGUUUCUAACCCAUGGGUCCCACGGGUGCCAACGGUUUCCCUCUUGAUCCUCCCCAAUCGCCCGCUCACACCACCACGCCGCCACGCCGCUCAUCGUUAACUUCCUGCCCUCCACGGACUUAUCCGCUCGUCGCGCCCGCCUCAAGCUAAUGACGAAUCUAAUGAGUAGAAGAGUGAGGGCAUGUGUCCUUAAGGAAAAAAAACGUCUUCGACCAGAAAUCUCCACCUGCCGCGCUGUGGAGUUCUCGUGCUGGGGCUCCUCCCCGUGCGUCGCCACGGUGCCGUGGCUGACCACACGAGCGCGGCUUGGCAUGCGUCUAAAGAUACAGUGGCCGUUGUUGGAGAUGACCUUGAAGCUGUGCAUCUGCCAUUCUGCCUUCCAUUGGUGCCUAUGGGGUACACUGUCAAACAGCGCUGGUGCCCCCUCCAUCGGCGCGGGAGGAAGAAGAUGACCAGGUUGAGCGGUGUGGAACCGUCGUAAACGAAUCUGCGCGGUUUCUCCCAACACGGUUGACUGUGGGCUGAUUUACGGGUACACGGUUAGUAUACAGCAUCGUACAUACCACUCAUAUAUAUAGUCAUAUAUAACAUCUCAAGUCCAUACACGGCACACUGCUUAGAGAACCUUUAUUUAUUUUGUAUGAAAAAGGGACAUGAAAGAAAACCAUUCUCCGAAUAUAUCAAAACAUGUAUAAGGCUGCCCGUGAAGUAGAAUCGCAUCCCCAUCCACAGAUUUAGUUGUAGGCGUCGGGGUUGGCGACGAGGUAGGCCUCGGCACCCUUGAAAAUGGCGGUGAGUGCCUCCUUGGCCUUGGCUUCCUCGUCCUUCUCGUCCAUGCCCGGCAGCAACUUGUAGGUCGACUCCACCUUCACCACGCUGCCGCCGUCGGCCGUGGGCUCCACCUUGAUGUGUGACGCCGCGGUCUCGAUGGCAACACCGAUGCCGCCGCCCUCGACGAGCGUGUUCUUGCACUCGCACUUGUCCACGUCCAGGAAAUCGAGCCUCUCCUUCAUGAAGCUGAACGGCAUGACUGCAAGAACGAUCGCGCACGUCAUUCGCUAGCUAUUUGAUCGAUCGAUCGGGCGACAACAUGUUGGUCUGGGCGACUGGGCAUGCUGCGGACACUUACAUGAGGUGAAGUUGAACUGCCUGACGCUGCCAACGCCGCCGUCGCCCUCCACGGGGUGGGCGCUGGCGACGACGUGGGAGGCGACCUUGGGCGCCAGGGUGUGCCAGUCCAUCACGGCGGCGCGGAACAGGCGCGGCGCGGCCACCGGCGACGGAAUCUCCAGGGUCCAGCUGCUGGCGGAGGCCAUUACUUCAGUGAUCGGCCGAGAUAAACUAAACUAGGUGCGAGCCGAAGCUGCUUAGGUGCUUGUGCUGCUGCAGGUGGUUUUAGGAUUGCGCUUUUGCUUGCGUUGCCAUUAGAGUGGCGGACGGAGGACUUUAAAUAGGCGGUUAUGGCGGGGUUGGUGGCGUCCCGUGAGGAUGAGACGCUCGGGAGUCGUCGUCGGCGGCUCUUCCCACUUUGGCUUGGCACGGCACCGUCGCUCGUCGGUCCAUGUAGUUCAUUAUAAUAUACUACAUGUUGCCGGGGUUGCGGACAAACGUCUGGAAACGUGCUGCCAUUCCGUCAGCGUUCAACCCCUGAAGGUGUAGAAUAUAUAUCGUCGAAUUGGCGAGCCAAAUCAGCUUCCAGAUCAAAAAGCAUGUACUGUAAGCGUGGGUUGGUGUCAUUAGAAACGAGAAUUAUACCGUACGUGAGCGUCCUGACUACUUGCAUCACUCUUUUGGUGUCGCACUGUCGCUAUUAACUACUAAUAAUAAACAUAAUCCUGUAAAUCCACCUCUUUUUAAUCAUCCUAUAAAUACCUCUACUGGCGACAGCAUGGACAAAGCUCAUACGGAAAAUAACAUAGUGGUGGCCAAAGCUGUAUGGGAAAAUAUUGAUUGCAGACUAUCAAUUGGGUGCAAAAGUACUCAGUGUAAACUAUUAAUUAAGUGCAAAUAUAAAGACAAUUGCUAUGUCACAGUUGAUUGUUUUAGCCUCCGUGAAUAACUGAUUUCCUGGCCGUUUGAUUCUUAUCACGUGGGAUGAAAGAAAGACCAACAACGCUGCGGAAGCAGAGCGUGAGGAAGGACCGAAGGAGCCACCAGGGGUCCACUGAUGUCGCCAUUAGCACCAAGGAGAGGCCGUCGUCAGAGUCAGAGUCAGGGUUGUAGAGGGCUAUCACGUCCGUUGUCGAGGUCGGGGUGGGGUAAAGAUGGCAAUGGAUAAUUACCCGCUGGGUAUAUGCUACCCAUACCUUUACCGAUGAGAAAAUAUUUUACCCGUUAAUUUACAUAUCCAUGUAUGGGUAAGAGUUUUUUCCCAUACCCUUACCCACGUGGGUAACGGGUAAUCCAUGAGUUUUCUUACCCAUGAUUCUAAGAAUACUUGUAAAAAAUAAAUACAUAUUUAAAUAUUCUAGACUCCCAAUUUCAGCCAAAGUAUCAUAAGUCAUUAAUAAAAUCAUCAAAUAUACAAGCUCCAUGAAUACCUAAUCAAGUAAUCUAAUAGAUAAAUCCAUCAUUACUAGACAACAAGUGACAAAAUUUACAAGUUUCCGUGUUGUGCGGCCGCCGCAAGGAGAUAGGGGAAAGGUGAGAGAGCGGAUGUGUGAGGUACUAAGGUGAGGGCCUAGAGUUUGACAGCAUUAUAUAUGAUUUUUAUUGGACUUGGCCUGUGUAUGGUGAUUUUGGUCCAUAAUUCUAACUUAUUGAAUCGGGUCCAAUCCCAUACCCUUACUCGCUUUACCCGCUGGCUAAAGCUUUUUCCCAUUAUCUUACCUAUGGAUAAAAAAAAUAGUCAUACCUUUACCCUAAUGAAGUAAUUAACCAUCGGAUUUCGAGUAAAAAUUGACAUCUUUAAGGUGGGGAAUGGCCGCCGCAUCUACCAUAGCCACCUGCUUCCUGAGAUCCAUGGGGAAAGAGCCCGCCGCUAGCCGAGGGUGAGGAGCCGCCGCCUCUGUGUGGCCAACUUCAUGUCGGGCCUCUACCGUGGCGGGGGUAGCUCACAGAAGGGAAGGGAUAAAGUUGGUGAGGGUGGGUCCCACCAUAAUUGGUGAAUAAUUUGCCAUGUAUUUCUCUAAUAUCUACUAUCUAAAGAAAUAUUUUGUAUUUUUUUCUGAAAAGUUUGGCAUAUUUGUCUUUGAGAUAUGUAAUCUAUAAAAAUACCUAAGAUAUAUCACUAUAUCCAAUAAAUGACACUAUGUGUUAGCAUUUUCUCACUACAUUUUCAAAGGUGUUAACACACUAGAUUCUAAUGCAUAUGCAUUAUCAACAACAGCUAGUGACACUUGAUAAACCGCUUUUAACCAUAAUUUUCCUCUCUUUAUAGUACAGCUAUCUAGUCGACUAGUCCAAACCCAAUUAUAUCCUCUAUGGUAUCUUGAUUGGCGAAACAAGAAUGGCCCUAUCACAUACCUUUGCCUUAAGCUCAUUUUUAUUUUUCUCUUUCUUUUUUUCCAAGUUGGAGCACUUGAUCUUCACACUUGACCACCUCCAUCAUCUAUAGAUGCCAUAAUCUAGCUGGUGUGUACCAAUCCUAUUUCCUAUCUUAUAUACACCUAAAGCAAUGGUUAGUAGACUUAGAUCUCAUCAAUUAUCCGAAACUAAACUAGAACUUUCAUGUAGUGACACAACAUCUACUUUCUCUCACCCUUCCUCUUUCAUGGAAUGCAAGCAUUCAUACAUCAUUAGUAUGUUGUAUGUAAUGAGUCUCUCUAGCACAAACACCGACUGUUCUUCCGAAAUCACCUUUGGGAAAAAAUAAUCCACAGUCUGUUUGCCACCGUCUUAGAAGCAAUCUUAUAUAUCAUGUUACAUAGACUGAUGAUAGGCCAAAACAGCCCGCUCGACCAACUUCUCCACUUUUGUGAUCAAUACUAUUCAUGUGCUAUUUAUCACAGAAGGAUCAUCCUCGCCACAUAAGUCCUAGUGCCGCUAAAAAAAAUGAGCAGGAAAACCAUCUGGCCCCGGCGUUUUUGUCUUAAACAUGUGAGAAAGCUUAGUCCUGAUCUCCUCCUUUCGUAUACAAGGCGAGUGUCCUGACAACUACUUGCAUCACUCUUUUGAUGUUGCACUAUCGUUGUUAGCCUUAUCAUUAACUCCUUUCCUCUCUAAUCUCUAGAAUUAAGCAAAGAUUUGAAUGCUUUCUCAAUUUACCAUCAUAUAAUUAUUAUAUUAUAAUAUAAUCAAAUAAAUACACCUCUUUUUAUUCAUCCCGCAAAUAUAUCUAGUGGCAAUGAGUAUGGAAAGAGCUAAUACGAAAACUAUCAUAGUGGUGGCCAAAUACAUGAGAAAAUAUUCAGUGCAAACUAUAGAUUGGGUGCAAACAUAAACCCUUUAUAACAUAAUUAGAUGUUUUCUUAAAAAAAUGCCCACUUCGCCACUAAAGUUAAGAUACAAAGAAAUGGGGUGGGGGUGUGAUGCAAAGAUAUUGGAGAGUGAAUCUCUUCUUUCAAACCUCCCAAGAAACUAGUCACAAAGUAAACAUAAUCGUAGGAGCUAUUGUACAAUAGAAUUUGAUGCGCAGGCUGUUCAAGCUACUCAAAUUACUGUGACCGAACUAGUCUACUGAAGAUGAUUGUUUCAUACAUAACUCAUAUUGGUCACGAUUAAAAUAAUUACAAACCGCAUCACAAGAGCAGGCCAAGAUGUGAAACAACCACACAACUCUUUAAAUUGUAACCAAGUGGCAGCGGUCCUCCAGAACUCAAUGCAACAGAGCUAGGCUUCAAUGUCUCGCUGAUAGAGUACAUCUCAAAAUAGAUCUUACAGUGAUCCUUCCACAACCAUAAAUUGUCACCAUCAAAUUUGGGGAAAUAUGAUUUGGGCAUCGGACCAACUGGAGAUGUAUAAGAAUAUGAAUGUUCCAUCGGUCCACCUAUCAUUCCCUUGUACUUGCGUGCCCGUUAGUUAGCUAUUAUGUUCCUCUUUUUUAUUGGAUCCCAAACACCUCUGCUUCUAGACCAACUUCCAUCGUCGUCUACACAUAUCCCAUGGAGUUAGAGCAAGUUUAAUUAAUACAGUCCACUUGCUGACUGUAAGGUUCCUUACAGCCUUCUUUCAGCCCCACCCAUACAAUAGUUAGUUAUUCAUUAUUAAUACAUGACUCACUUAUCUCUCUUACAAAGUUUUCAGCUUACAACAUGCUUCUCUUCUCUCUCCUCCACCUCAGUAUUUAGCCAGCUUACAGCCCACUAUAAUACUUGCUCUUAUGACAAAUGCCUACUUCUCUCGCCUUUUUAGUGAACACUAUAACUCCUGGAGUCUUCAUAUUAUUCGAAAAAUAAAUUCAAAUUUCAACAAUGACACAUUCAGCAGAAUAAAAAGUCUCCAAAUUUCUAUUAAAAAAGAGCAAACAUUCCUUAUUCAGUCAAACUUGCAAAGGAUUUCAAAACAGAAGACCUCGUAUAACCAUGAGGGUGUAAGUAAUCUCACAAACAAAGCAUCACAAACCACUUAUAAUCUCAAGUCCAUACACGGUACACCACACACUGCAUAGAGCAACUUUAUUUUGUUUUGUAUGAAAAAAGAGGAAAACUCCAGGAAAGAAAAAAGAAAAUUAAACCCAAACUUCAGGAAGGGGAAUCGCAUCCCAAUCGACUGAUUUAGUUGUAGGCGUCGGGGUUGGCGACGAGGUAGGCCUCGGCACCCUUGAAAAUGGCGGUGACUGCCUCCUUGGCCUUGACUUCCUCGUCCUUCUCGUCUACGCCAGGCAGCAGCUUGUAGGUCGACUCCACCUUCACCACGCUGCCGCCGCCGGCCGCGGGCUCCACCUUGAUGUGCGACGCCGCGGUCUCGAUGGCAACACCGAUGCCGCCGCCCUCGACGAGCGUGUUCUUGCACUCGCACUUGUCCACGUCCAGGAAAUCGAGCCUCUCCUUCAUGAAGCUGAACGGCAUGACUGCAAGAACGAUCGCGCACGUCAUUCGCUAGCUAUUUGAUCGAUCGAUCGGGCGACAACAUGUUGGUCUGGGCGACUGGGCAUGCUGCGGACACUUACAUGAGGUGAAGUUGAACUGCCUGACGCUGCCAACGCCGCCGUCGCCCUCCACGGGGUGGGCGCUGGCGACGACGUGGGAGGCGACCUUGGGCGCCAGGGUGUGCCAGUCCAUCACGGCGGCGCGGAACAGGCGCGGCGCGGCCACCGGCGAUGGAAUCUCCAGGGUCCAGCUGCUGGCGGAGGCCAUUACUUCAGUGAUCGGCCGAUCGACUAAACUUGUGCUAGCUGAAGCUGGUUAGGUGCUCAGCUCUAUGGGUGGCAGCUACUGCUUGUGUUGCCAUGACACUGGCGGACUGAGGGCUUUAAAUAAUAGGCCGUUAUGGCGGGGGUUGGUGGCGUCCCGUGAGGAUGUGUAUGAGACGCCCGGGACGGAGUCGUCGUCGGCUCUUCCCACUUGGGUUGGCUUGGCACGGCACCGCGUGACUCAUCGGUCCAUUAGUCCAUUAUUUUAUCGAUAUCAAUAUGUAUGUUGCCGGGCUGCGGACAGCCGGACACACGUCACCAAACGGGCUGCCAUUCCGUCAACGUUCAACAUCUAGAAGGUGUGGAAUAUGUCGUCGAAUGGCACACCGUCGGGUCUGUUUGGAACGAAAGUGAGAGAAAAUACAGGAAAUAGAUAAGGAAUACAAUGGUCCUGUUUAAGUUAGAGGUUAGAGUUAUUCUCUAGUUUAUGACUAGCCCUCAAGUAACUCUAGCCAAAGAGAUGUUUGUAUGCAAGGGUUAGUGUUGAUGCAAAACUGAUCUGCAAACACAAAGGGCUAAUACCCGAUCCAAACGUUAAGGCGUGCCAGCCGAUUUAACCUUACUAUCGGCAAAGGUGAUAACUCGAAUACUUUAGUCCUGACAACAGCGAUGCGCCCGGAUGUCACGGCUAAGAGGUACUCACGCGGAACUUGAGAACACGCCGAGCUUAAGUCGACGAAUUCCUAAGAACUCGUAGUAAAAAGGAAAAAGUACGACGAAGUCGUCGAAAAAGUAGAUGCUGGAAUAUGAGUAAAAACGUGUGUUUGAUUGAUUGAUAGAUAGCUCAUUACAAGGCCCUAGGGUCUAUAUUUAUACCCUGCUCAAAGAGCUACAACCAGACACGAUUAGAAUUCGAAUUCCAAACUACACGGAAUCCGUAUACAAAACGAUGUAAAUAAUUAAAGAAAUAACAAAACUAUCCCCCGUGACAAACUGAAACUCCUCCAUACAACGACCGGCAGCUUCCGGACUCCCUCUUUGCAUCAUCGGCAGAUCUUUUGCCAUAGUCAUCGGCAGACUUUCUUAUCCAGUCAUCGGCACAAUCAUAUCACUGCCUGUAGACUUAGUCACGUUCAACUUCUCCUUCAUCGGCAACCAUCCUCAUCGGCAACUCACCCUGUAAACAUCGUACUGCCAUCUUAUCCUGCCAUCCUAGACACGUGCACAAAAACGGUGUCAACACAUGCCCCCCAGUUUCGGAGUAUAAAACUAUUAAUGCUCCGAAAUUCUCUGCAGUAAUGAUGCCUUUUCCCGCAAUUAAUGCUCCUAAUCUGGUAACCGACAACCUCAAUCUGAACAACUCUGAUCCUAUUCCUCCGCAGAUUCCUCGAAAUCCCCAACUUCCUAAACGGGCAUUUCUUCUCAGUCGUACGUCGGCAAUAAUACCGUUACAAAGAUUUGCCGAUGUUCUGACCAGGAUAUUCGCACAAAUGGUUACUUCCCCUCGAUCCGCCCAUCGGCAAUAUGACCGUUAUAGAAUGCUGCCGAUGGACCGACCAGGAGAUCUAGCACAGUAAAAUAUCUUCAGAUAAUGACCGCUUCCCGUCAAAUCACCUGCACAAUCCCUGGAUUAUCGUGCGAACAGUUACCAUAUCUUCCUGAGUACCCUCGGAUCUCUCGGAAGCGGCAAAGAGAAAAGUCAGAUUUGCCCUUGCCCAUUUCGUCCUAUAAAUAGUUCCUUCUCGGGUACUCCUUCCCUAUCACAUCAUUCCACCACCCAAGUUUACUUUUCCAGCGGCGGCGCCAUCCGAAGCUCCCAAGACCUCCAACAAGCAUUCUUCCUCAUCAACCCCGGUGUCUUCAAACACUUCCUUCGCAGCAAGAUGGCCGUCGGCUUCGUCGUUCCUGAGGUCAAAUCUCCACCCCGUCUCCUGUAUUUUUCUUCAUAUCCCUGUUCACUCGCAAUUCAUUUUACUGAAUAUCUCCCUUUUCUUUUCUCUUUGUAUUUCUUUUUAUCCCAAAAAUCACUAGGAAUUGUCCAAUAAAAUUGUCAUCCCCACUGAUCAACCACACCUCCAAUGUCUCGGUCCUCUAGGAGAUCCAGAUCCAACCGACCUUAUUAAUGCAGAAACCAACAGGAUCCCCUUUAGAACUGAAAAUUUUUCUUUAGAUCUGUGGAAAGAUACCUUCCGUUCUUGGCCUAGCCCUACCGUAGGGUGGAAAGACUGGUUCUUGAGAGUCAGCAAUUCUUAUGAAGUCCAGUGGGGCGAAAGGAAGCUAGCCCAAUGCAUUAGAUUGUCCAUUGCCGAUAUGCAUAGGAACGAGUCAUGCUGAUAGCUGCAUCCUACUUUUGGUCAGACACCCUCAAUGCUUUCGCCUUUGGCCACGGCCCUGCUUCUCCUACCCUUGCCGAUGUGGCCAUGCUUACUGGUCUAGAUAUAUCUUCUGCCGAUAGCACCUACUUUUUUGAUACUGCCCCUAGUGCCAAAGUGGAGACUCGCGCUAUCGGCGGUUGGUCAGGGUACAUUCAGAAGUACCGUGGGAAAGGAUCCGUCACCAUAAAGGAACAAACCACCUUUCUGAACAUGUGGCUGGACAAGUUUGUAUUCUGUGGUCGAUCGGCAGGACCAACUUCCGUUUAUCUAUCGGCAGCGGAGAGACUGGCUAACGGUGGCCAAUUUCCUCUCGGCCGAUACUUGCUUGGCGCUGUUUACCACCUUCUCCAUCAGGUAGCCCAGAAACUCCUGCUCGGCCAGUCCAUCGGCAACCUGGGAGGCCCCUGGUGGUUUAUUAAUAUGUGGCUCAAUCUGCACCUGCAUAAGCGCCUUGAUUUCAACUUGUUCACACAGCACUUCCCAAGAGAUAUAGCCGAAAACCAUGUGUUGGGUGAAGAGGAAUCGGCAACGCGUGCCCCCUUGAACUUUGGCGAAGCUGUCAUCGUUCUACCUGGUUCAGGGAGUAAUCCGGAUCAGAUCGGCCGAUUCUUCCAGGUUCUGUAUGAGGGUUUGGCCAGAGACGAACGACCAUGGUUGGCUUAUGAUGACCCAGAUAGCAUGCUCCCUCUGUCCUUCAAUCCAUUUGAUGAAGCUCUCGACAGGGACAAUGAGACGAUGAUGGCAAUUGUGACUCCCAGAAUCAUUCCAGUGAAUUUUUUUUGGUAGCACAAAAACCUCUCCUCAGACUUAUGAAUUUUACAAUCCAUCGGCAUUAGCUCGCCAGUUAGCUUUCGGCCAGUUGCCGAUUGCACUUCCUUAUGCCGAUGUGAUAAAACCCAGAGAAACCAUCAACAACCUCCUUGAGUGGAUUCGAGUAGCCCAACUACCACCAAACGCCGAUACAGAUGUAGAUCUGUCAGAAUGGGUUCCGGCUGCUUUUAUCACUCAGGCAUACAAGUUAUGGUGGGCAGAGUGGAAAGAGCAUCUAUUCUGCAGAUCGGCCCUUUCAUACCGCGGCAUGAUCGACUCCGAAUACGAAGUUCCCGAUGACACUGUAAGUAACUCAAACCGAUGUUCCAUUUUCUCAAUACUAUUUCCAUCGAUAGCUUACCCUUGUAUUCCUUUCGCAGGUUGACAACAUCCCCCCAUCGGUUAGCAGGAGCGGCAAGCCGAUCGACUUGUUUCCAUCAGGCCCGAUUUCCUCCAUCGGCCACAAUGCUCCUAUCCUGGCUUCCAUCGUGCAUCGGGGUGUGCGUCUCAGGAAAGUCACCACCAGGAGAACCCAGACAUCACCAACGGUAGCUGCUCCCACUCUGGCGCGGGCUUUCAAGGAAAUUUGUCAAAUCUUUUCCUUUAUGCUGACUAUCUUUAUAUCGGCUAUAUUUAUGCUUAUAAACUCUUGUUCGUUAUUGCAGCAAACCGGCGCAUCGGCGAAAGCCAGGCGUGAAAGUGCCGAUGCCCCCCAGUCUAGCCAACCAAAGAGAAAAGGCACCACAGGUGCUAAGACUGGAACAAAGCGCCAGAAGGUAGCAACUCCCCCUCCUCCUCCGGUGUCUCCAAUUCCGGUGGAGUCUUCUCCUUCUUCUCCAGAAGCCCAGCCACAGCAAGCACCGUCUCCCCAACCUAUGCAGGAAGCACCACAGAUAGAAGAACCCCAGCAGGAAGGAUCCCAAACAGAAGGUACAUCAGCUGAUGUGGGUGGACAAACAACUGGCCCGGAGGGUCCAAUUACACCAUCGGCGGUUCUCCCGAUUCAGACAACCGUUGUUCCACCUCCAGGUAACAUACUUUAACAAUACCGCUACCGAUGAACUUAUUCCCAUUUAGUCUCAUAACUCCUCUUAUCUUCUUUCAGCUGAUAUCGUUCCAUCGGCAACCUCAGCCGAUCAACCUGUAGUUCCAUCGGCAUCUUUGGCCGAUCAGCCUGCAGCUCC
rnacentral:lncRNA from 1 species